rnacentral:tRNA from 1 species
GGUAAAGUGGCUGAAAUUAGGCGAUAAAUUGUAAAUUUAUUUAAAGGUAUUUACCUCUUUACUA